ACAGAUACCUGGCAUACCACGAUCAAGAAGGUGGGGCUCAGCUAUUGCAUUUGCAGGGGUCCCUGCGAAUUCCCCAAAAGUGGGAUUCUCAAAUGCAUAAUGUGGACGGCGGUAGCUCUGUCCUUUGGGACUUCGUCUG
rnacentral:snRNA from 1 species